rnacentral:lncRNA from 1 species
GCAGCUCCGGGACUUUGGGGACAUCGAGGAGGAGCCCGAAGGCACCGGGGACUGCUGGGGACAGCGCAGGGUGUGUGGGGACAGCCGGGUGUCACUGUCACACCUGGGUGUCACCUGUGUCACCUGGGUGUCCCAAUUCCCAAUCCUCAAUCCCAUUCCCUGUUCCCCAAUCCCCCAAUUCUCAAUCCUCCCUUCCCAGUUCCCCAUUCCCAUUCCCAAUCCCCCAAUCCCAAUUCCCAAUCCCCAUUUCCUAUUCCCAGUUCCCAAUUCCCCGUUCCCCAUUUCCCAGUUCCCAGCUCCCAAUGCCCCAGUUCCCCAUUCCCAUUCCCAGUCCCAAUCCCAGUCACAGUUCCCCAAUGCCAGUUCCCAAUUCCCAGUUCCCCAUUCCCAUCCCCAGUUCCCAUUCGUGUUCCCCAUUCCCUUUCCCAGUUCCCCAAUCCCCCAAUUCUCAAUCCCCCAUUCCCCGUUCCCUGUUCCCCAUUCCCAUUCCCAUUCCCAAUUCCCAUUCCCCAUUCCCAAUUCCCAUUUCCUAUUCCCAGUUCCCAAUUCCCCGUUCCCCAUUUCCCAGUUCCCAGCUCCCAAUGCCCCAGUCCCCAUUCCCAGUCCCAAUCCCAGUCACAGUUCCCCAAUGCCAAUUCCCAAUCCCAGUUCCCCAAUCCCCCAAUUCUCAAUCCUCCAAUCCCCAAUUCCCAAUUCCCAUUCCCCAGUCCCAAUUCCCCAAUCCCACCAUCCCCCAUUCCCCAAUCCCCAUUUCCAGUUCCCAGUUCCCAAUUCCAGUUCCCUGUCUCGAAUCCCCCAAUCCCAAUUCCCUG